UCGAUAACGAAACGAGACCUUAACCUGCUAAAUAGACCAGCCGGCUUUGGCUGGCUGCUGUCUUCUUAGAGGGACUAUCAGCGUUUAGCUGAUGGAAGUUUGAGGCAAUAACAGGUCUGUGAUGCCCUUAGAUGUUUUGGGCCGCACGCGCGCUACACUGACAGAGCCAGCGAGUCUAUCACCUUUGCCGGAAGGCAUGGGUAAUCUUGUGAAACUCUGUCGUGAUGGGGAUAGAGCAUUGCAAUUAUUGCUCUUCAACGAGGAAUACCUAGUAAGCGUGAUUCAUCAGAUCGCGUUGAUUACGUCCCUGCCAUGAACUGCGAC
rnacentral:rRNA from 1 species